CUCACUGAAGGCUGAUCUCUGAAGCUUAAAAGAUGAGAGGGUUAAGUCUUCUGUACCUGUUGACAGCCCUUCCUGGUAUCCUUUCGGAGGUGCAGCUUCAAGAGUCAGGACCUGGGCUGGUAAAACCCUCUCAGUCACUGUCCCUCACCUGCUCUGUUACCGGCUACUCCAUCACCAGUGGAUAUGUCUGGAGCUGGAUCCGGCAGAUUCCAGGAAAUAAAAUGGAGUGGAUGGGGUACAUAAGCUCUGGUGGUAGCACUUACUACAACCCAUCUCUCAAAAGUCGAAUCUCCAUCACUAGAGACACAGCCAAGAACCAGUACUUCCUGCAACUGAAUUCUGUGACUACUGAGGACACAGCCACAUAUUACUGUGCAAGACACAGUGUGUAG